UACGUAGGGGGCAAGCGUUGUCCGGAAUCAUUGGGCGUAAAGCGCGUGUAGGCGGCCCGGUAAGUCCGCUGUGAAAGUCGGGGGCUCAACCCUCGAAUGCCGGUGGAUACUGUCGGGCUAGAGUGCGGGAGAGGCGAGUGGAAGUUCCUGGUGUAGCGGUGAAAUGCGCAGAUAUCAGGAGGAACACCAAUUGCGAAGGCAGCUCGCUGGAACGUAACUGACGCUGAGACGCGAAAGCGUGGGGAGCAAACAGG
rnacentral:rRNA from 1 species